UGGAUUUUUCUUUCAUUCCCCAACCGAGAGAAAUCGACCAAAACCUUGGCCACCUCGGAUUUUUUGUCCCUCGCUGAUUUCCCAGGCGACGAUAGAGUUACCUCCUUGCUCUCCUCCCGCUAGAAAUCUCCCGCGGCCAGAAAUCUCCCGCCAGGAAUCUUCGACUCUACCCCUCACGAACCCUAGCCGCUCUCCUGCGCUUGGUCCCCUCCGAAUCCUUCACCUCCGCCCCCUCCUCGAUCUCCAGCCACGACCACCUCCAUGGGUCGGAGAAAGGCGGAAUCUUUGAGAUCAGGGCCAGAGGGUUUCAUUUGGGUACGAGGAGCUUGGGGUUUAGGGCUUCGGAUGCCGCUCGAGCUGGAUUCGUGAUGGAGGAGAGGUAUUUUGGGGAGAAGAAGGUGGUGAGUUCGAAGAAGGGGGGAGAUGACGAGGGGUUUGAGAUUGCUAAGCUUGGGAUUGAUCAGAGUAUUGUUGGUGAACUCGCAAAGAGGGGAAUAACCAAGCUUUUCCCUAUUCAGAGGGGAACUGAUCUAGGGGUUUUUAGGCAAUUAGAUGAAAUCCUAUACAUCGAGGAUAUCCUGGCUAUCGACGCAUGAUGCCCAUGGCAGAGGACUCAAUGCAUUUUGUUUGUGAAGUGAAAGGUACCCCACCUAAAAAUCGUCACUAGAAAAACUGGACAAAAAUUUUGCCAUUCAAGAUGAAAAGGAAACUUUAAAAGAAGUUGUCUCAAAAUUGGGCGAAUACCUGAAGGAUGAGCCAUGGUUGACUCUCUUAUACAGUCAUUUAAAGUUGAACUGGCAUGAAGCUCUUCAAAAUACUCCCAGGAAUGAAAAAGAACCAGGUUUCCUAGAGGACACUCCAAUGCCCUCCCGUCCUCUCUCGGGAAAAGUUGAUACUACAAAGAAAAAAAAUCAAGUAACGCAAAACAAACCAAAAAGCUGAAAGCUAAAACCGACUCUCAGAAUAUAAAGAACAUGUUCCAGAGAGUCACUAGGAGGAGAAGCUGAACGAAGAUGCACAAGGGAAGCUGUAUGUUAUUGUUCUGAUACUUGUUUUAAGAUGUUAUUUUCUCAGUGGGGUGACUUGGAGCUCUUCCCUUCAUUGUUGUAAAUUUCUUUAUGUUGGACUAAUUGAAGUAUGUUAUUCGCUAUAGCUGUAAUCUGGCUUGAGAGCUUUUAAUCGCUAAUUGAAGUAUGUUAUUCGCUA